rnacentral:rRNA from 1 species
CCGGAGCUUGCUCCACCGGAAAAAGAGGAGUGGCGAACGGGUGAGUAACACGUGGGUAACCUGCCCAUCAGAAGGGGAUAACACUUGGAAACAGGUGCUAAUACCGUAUAACAAUCGAAACCGCAUGGUUUUGAUUUGAAAGGCGCUUUCGGGUGUCGCUGAUGGAUGGACCCGCGGUGCAUUAGCUAGUUGGUGAGGUAACGGCUCACCAAGGCGACGAUGCAUAGCCGACCUGAGAGGGUGAUCGGCCACAUUGGGACUGAGACACGGCCCAAACUCCUACGGGAGGCAGCAGUAGGGAAUCUUCGGCAAUGGACGAAAGUCUGACCGAGCAACGCCGCGUGAGUGAAGAAGGUUUUCGGAUCGUAAAACUCUGUUGUUAGAGAAGAACAAGGAUGAGAGUAACUGUUCAUCCCUUGACGGUAUCUAACCAGAAAGCCACGGCUAACUACGUGCCAGCAGCCGCGGUAAUACGUAGGUGGCAAGCGUUGUCCGGAUUUAUUGGGCGUAAAGCGAGCGCAGGCGGUUUCUUAAGUCUGAUGUGAAAGCCCCCGGCUCAACCGGGGAGGGUCAUUGGAAACUGGGAGACUUGAGUGCAGAAGAGGAGAGUGGAAUUCCACUUUAUGAGGCGG